CCAGCCACCGCGGUCACACGAUUGACCCUAGCUAAUAGAGAUCGGCGUAGAGGGUGUUUAAGAUCUGACACAAUAAAGCUAAACUCCAUCUAAACUGUAAAACCCUAGCUAAUGUAAAAUAAACUACGAAAGUGGCUUUAAAGCUUCUGAACACACAAUAGCCAGGACCCAAACUGGGAUUAGACACCCCACUAUGCUUGGCCCUAAACCUCAGUAGUUAAACAACAAAACUACUCGCCAGAAUACUACGAGCAACGGCUUAAAACUCAAAGGACUUGACGGUGCUUUACAUCCCCCUAGAGGAGCCUGUUCCAUAAUCGAUAAACCCCGAUCCACCCUACCCUCUCUUGCUCAGCCUAUAUACCGCCAUCUUCAGCAAACCCUGAUAAAGGUUACAAAGUGAGCGCAAACGCCUCCCCGCAAAAACGUUAGGUC
rnacentral:rRNA from 1 species